rnacentral:rRNA from 1 species
AUUGAACGCUGGCGGCAGGCUUAACACAUGCAAGUCGAGCGGGGUGAUGGUGCUUGCACUAUCACUUAGCGGCGGACGGGUGAGUAAUGCUUAGGAAUCUGCCUAUUAGUGGGGGACAACAUCUCGAAAGGGAUGCUAAUACCGCAUACGUCCUACGGGAGAAAGCAGGGGAUCACUUGUGACCUUGCGCUAAUAGAUGAGCCUAAGUCGGAUUAGCUAGUUGGUGGGGUAAAGGCCUACCAAGGCGACGAUCUGUAGCGGGUCUGAGAGGAUGAUCCGCCCCACUGGGACUGAGACACGGCCCAGACUCCUACGGGAGUCAGCAGUGGGGAAUAUUGGACAAUGGGGGGAACCCUGAUCCAGCCAUGCCGCGUGUGUGAAGAAGGCCUUAUGGUUGUAAAGGACUUUUGUCAGGGAGGAAAUCCCUAGUGCUAAUAACACUGGGGGAUGACAGUACCUGAAGAAUAAGCACCGGCUAACUACGUGCCAGCCGCCGCCGUAA